rnacentral:rRNA from 1 species
UACGUAGGGACCAAGCGUUGUCCGGAAUCAUUGGGCGUAAAGAGCGUGUAGGCGGCUUGUUAAGUCUUGCGUGAAAUCUCGGGGCUCAACCCCGAGCGGUCGUGAGAAACUGGCAGGCUAGAGUGCGGGAGAGGAGAGUGGAAUUCCUGGUGUAGCGGUGAAAUGCGCAGAUAUCAGGAAGAACACCCGUGGCGAAGGCGGCUCUCUGGAACGCAACUGACGCUGAGACGCGAAAGCGUGGGGGAGCGAAACAGG